ACACAAUGAUGAGUUGCUUUCGGUCCGUGUUUCUGAUAUUCUUAUGACGACAAUUAGAAAGCUCUGAGUGU